rnacentral:rRNA from 1 species
GAUGAACGCUGGCGGCGUGCCUAAUACAUGCAAGUCGAGCGAACAGACGAGGAGCUUGCUCCUCUGACGAUAGCGGCGGACGGGUGAGUAACACGUGGAUAACCUACUUAUAAGACUGGGAUAACUUCGGGAAACCGGAGCUAACACCGGAUAAUAUAUUGAACUGUAUGGUUCAUUAGCGAUAGACGGUCUUGCUGUCACUUAUAGAUGGAACCGCGGCGUAUUAGAUAAUUGGUAAGGUAACGGCUUACCAAGGCAACAAUACGUAUCAGAUCUUAGAGAGUGAUCCGCCACACUGUAGCUGAGACAAGCCCCAAACUCCUACGAUAAGCAGCAGUAGGGAAUCUUCGGCAUUGCGCGAAAGCUUGACGGAGCAAACGCGCGCGAGAGAUGAAGGUCUUCGGAUCGUAGAACUCUGUUAUUAGGGAAGAACAAAUGUGUAAGUAACUAUGCACGUAUUGACGGUACCUAAUCAGAAAGCCAGGGAUAACUACGUG